rnacentral:rRNA from 1 species
UACGUAGGGACCUAGCGUUGUCCGGAAUCAUUGGGCGUAAAGCGCGUGUAGGCGGUUCGGUAAGUCCGCUGUGAAAGUCGGGGGCUCAACCCUCGGAUGCCGGUGGAUACUGUCGAGCUUGAGUACGGAAGAGGCGAGUGGAAUUCCUGGUGUAGCGGUGAAAUGCGCAGAUAUCAGGAGGAACACCAAUUGCGAAGGCAGCUCGCUGGGACGUUACUGACGCUGAGACGCGAAAGCGUGGGGAGCAAACAGG